rnacentral:rRNA from 1 species
UACGGGGGGAGCAAGCGUUGUUCGGAUUUACUGGGCGUAAAGGGCGCGUAGGCGGCACCGCAAGUCGACUGUGAAAUCUCCGGGCUUAACCCGGAAAGGUCAGCCGAUACUGCGGGGCUAGAGUGCAGAAGGGGCAACUGGAAUUCUCGGUGUAGCGGUGAAAUGCGUAGAUAUCGAGAGGAACACCUGCGUCGAAGGCGGGUUGCUGGGCUGACACUGACGCUGAUGCGCGAAAGCUAGGGGAGCGAACGGG